UGCCAAAUAAAUAAACCACACCACCAUCCAUUUAGGGUUAUAAAACCACGCAGCACGCAGACGGUUUCAAGAGGAGAUAACCAACCAAUUCGAUUCAGUGCCAAUGGCCCUCCUGCUGCGACGAUUACUGCGUUUCCCUUCAACUAUUCAAUCAAGAGGUUUCUGUUGCGCCCCCGUCAGCCGGCUCUCAGACGAUGACGUCAAGGUUAUCUUCGAGGCAUGGGCCGAUAAGCAUGGCAAAGUCUACGAAACCGUUAAAGAGAAGGAGAGUGGGUUUCAGUCUUUUAAAGAUAUGCUCAGCUCCUUAGACAAGGAUAACUCCACCUGCGAUUCUUCCGUCAAGUUAGGACCCACCGAGCCCUCAGAUUGGACCGGGGUUGAGUUUCGCUCGUCUUGGUCCCAGGAACCCCCCAAAAAUUAAGUGAAGCGUCCAGCUGAUGACAAGAAUUCAACAGCAGGUUGACAAACCUGCCCUGCUCCUAAAAGAAGAAUUGUGUUCCUCUUUUUUGAACCUUUAACAUAAUAUAUAUUUUGGAAACCGUUUAUUCCCCUUUGUAAACCUUUAUGAGAAUCAAGACUUAUUGGUAAUUAGAGUAAUCUUGGGCAUUAUAUAUGAACUUAAACUUCUAUAAA